AUGGUGGUCUUUUUUCAAGAACCUAUCCUUGGUUCUUGAAAAGCAAAGGGGCAUGGAGUUGGGGUUUCUUUACCCUCCUCCAAAAAUUUCAAACAGUUUGCCUGUGCUUAGCCAAUGAUUACAAUUUCUCAGAACCAACAUCUGAAGCAAAGCAGAGAAUCUUUGGCUAACGCAUAGCAGACCGGCAAGUCACAGAACGGCAACAGACUCUGGUAUGGGUCUU
rnacentral:sRNA from 1 species